rnacentral:rRNA from 1 species
GACGAACGCUGGCGGCGUGCUUAACACAUGCAAGUCGAACGGGCCCGCUCUCUUUUUUGGGGGUGGGUUGAGUGGCGAACGGGUGAGUAUCACGUGAGUAACCUGCCCCCUGCUCCUGGAUAACUGCUUGAAAGGGCGGCUAAUACGGGGUGUGCCGGCUGGUCCGCAUGGGCCUGGUCGGGAUAGUUUCAUCUUCGGGUGUUUCGGUGGGGGAUGGGCUCGCGGCCUAUCAGCUUGUUGGUGGGGUGAUGGCCCACCAAGGCGGUGACGGGUAGCCGGCGUGAGAGGGUGGGCGGCCACACUGGGACUGAGACACGGCCCAGACGCCUGCGGGAGGCAGCAGUGGGGGGUAUUGCACAAUGGGCGGAAGCCUGAUGCAGCGACGUCGCGUGAGGGAUGGAGGCCUUCGGGUUGUGAACCUCUUUCUCCGGUGGUGAAGGCCCUGUCCGUUGCGGCGGGGUUGACGGUAGCCGGGGAUGAAGCGCCGGCUAACUACGUG